rnacentral:rRNA from 1 species
GACGAAGGGGGCAAGCGUUGUUCGGAAUUACUGGGCGUAAAGGGCGCGUAGGCGGUUCUUUAAGUCAGGCGUGAAAGCCCUGGGCUCAACCUGGGAGUGGCGCUUGAUACUGGAGGACUAGAGAGUGGGAGAGGUUGGUGGAAUUCCCAGUGUAGAGGUGAAAUUCGUAGAUAUCGGGAGGAACACCAGUGGCGAAGGCGACACGCUGGGCCGUACCUGACACUGAUGCGCGACAGCAUGGGGAGCAAACAGG